rnacentral:rRNA from 1 species
ACACGUAGGUGGCAAGCGUUGUCCGGAAUUAUUGGGCGUAAAGCGUGCGCAGGUGGUUCCUUAAGUCUGAUGUGAAAGCCCCCGGCUCAACCGGGGAGGGUCAUUGGAAACUGGGGAACUUGAGUGCAGAAGAGGAUAGUGGAAUUCCAAGUGUAGCGGUGAAAUGCGUAGAGAUUUGGAGGAACACCAGUGGCGAAGGCGACGGUCUGGUCUGUAACUGACACGGAGGCGCGAAAGCGUGGGGAGCAAACAGGAUUAGGUACCCUGGUAGUCCACGCCGUAAACGAUGAGUGCUAAGUGUUGGGGGGUUUCCGCCCCUCAGUGCUGCAGCUAACGCAUUAAGCACUCCGCCUGGGGAGUACGGUCGCAAGACUGAAACUCAAAUGAAUUGGCGGGG